UUUUCCCUUCUCUCUCUUCCGUAACUCUUUCCUUCUCUCUCACUAUUUUCUCUUUUCUCCUUUCCGUUUUCCUUUCAAACCCUAGCAAAUCCAAUCUUUUUCCUUCAAACUCCCUCUCUUUCCGCCGUAAACGCAGAAACAACCAUGUCAUUCUUUAUCUUUUCCCUUCAAACCCUCUUUAAAAAUUUUCAUUUUCACUCCUUCGUAUUUGUUAGAUCUAUGGUGUUAUAUAUGAUUUAAAUUUUUGUUUGAUUCUUCUCAUUUAUGGUGUUUUUUUUAGGGGUUUUGAUUUCAGAAGAAAGAAGAAAGUAAACAACAAAUCUUUUCAAAAGAUUUACAUGUGGUGACCAUUGUUUAUGAUUUUAGUGCUUUUAUCAUGCUGAUUCUUUUAGUGUUUUUUUCUUUAUGUUUUUAUCAUAUUUAUUUUGCAUUUGUGGUUUUAUCUUAUGUUCAUCACCAUACAUAUGUAUUUCCAGAAACUCCAAUCAGUUCAGGGACAGUUGUGGCUCAGAGAUGAAUAUUCUUUAUCCUAAAGAUCCAGGUUUUUAGUGUCAUGGUGUGAAGAUGUUCAUGUUUAUUUCCUUCUUCCAGUUUCUUCCCUUUUGAUCUAUAAUCUGAGACUGCAAAAGUUACACUUUCUGGAUAUUAGAUAUUUGAACAAGGAGUGCAGUCUAGAUAGAGAGAAUUUGAGAGAACUAUAACUCUGGUUAUCUGUAUCAUUCUUCUAUUCAGAGUAACCUCCAUCAGAUGUGGCAGAAACAUCGGGACAUUCAGGGAGGUUACUGACAUUGAGAUUUUCUGAUUCGAAGGAGGACGGAAGGGUUUGUGCCUUUUCAUCGGUGUUUGGAAACUUCAUGACUAAGACGGUUAUGCUGAGACGGUUAUCACGGUUGAUAAGAAGCUUAGCAAACUCAAGGGUGGAUCCUAAAUGUCCCACACCCGGCGAAGGGAUAAACACCACUUCUACUUUCUUCAUCCUAAACACAGCACUCAACACAGUUAUAUUACAUGUAAUUGUUAAAUAGCUAGAAGCACAUUAUAUAUAACAAAUAGUAUUGUGAGUGAUGGUUUUGAAUCUGAAAUAUUGUGUGGUGAGAAACUAUUCAGAAACGUGAAUUAUUAUCUUGUCUUUAACUUGUAUGGCUAUCUGAAAUUUGUUGUUUUCUACAAA